ACGCACGCUGGCGGCGUGCCUAAUACCUGCAAGUAGCACGCGGAAGAGAGGAGCUUACUCUUCUUGGAUGAGUGGCGAACGGGGGAGUAACGCGUAGGUAACCUGCCUUGUAGCGGGGGAAAACUAUUGGAAACGAUAGCUAAUACCGCAUAACAAUGGAUGACACAUGUCAUUUAUUUGAAAGGGGCAAUUGCUCCACUACAAGAUGGACCUGCGUUGUAUUAGCUAGUAGGUGGGGUAAUGGCUCACCUAGGCGACGAUAGAUAGCCGACCUGAGAGGGUGAUCAGCCACACUGGGACUGUGACACGGCCCAGACUCCUACGGGAGGCAGCAGUAGGGAAUCUUCGGCAAUGGGGGCAACCCUGACCGAGCAACGCCGCGUGAGUGAAGAAGGUUUUCGGAUCGUAAAGCUCUGUUGUAAGUCAAGAACGGGUGUGAGAGUGGAAAGUUCACACUGUGACGGUAGCUUACCAGAAAGGGACGGCUAACUACGUG
rnacentral:rRNA from 1 species